UACGGGGGGGGCAAGCGUUGUUCGGAAUUACUGGGCGUAAAGGGUGCGUAGGCGGCUUUCUAAGUUGGAUGUGAAAACUAUGGGCUCAACCCAUAGCCUGCAUCCAAAACUGGAGAGCUUGGGUUCUGGAGGGGAAAGCGGAAUUCCUGGUGUAGCGGUGAAAUGCGUAGAUAUCAGGAGGAACACCGGUGGCGAAGGCGGCUUGCUGGGCCAGUUCUGACGCUGAGGAGCGAAAGCGUGGGGAGCGAACAGG
rnacentral:rRNA from 1 species